GACGAACGCUGGCGGCGUGCUUAACACAUGCAAGUCGAACGAUGAAGCUGGAGCUUGCUCCGGUGGAUUAGUGGCGAACGGGUGAGUAACACGUGAGCAAUCUGCCCUUGACUCUGGGAUAACUGCGGGAAACUGUAGCUAAUACUGGAUACUUUCACUGGAAGGCAUCUUCUGGUGAAGAAAGAAUUUCGGUCAAGGAUGAGCUCGCGGCCUAUCAGCUUGUUGGUGAGGUAACGGCUCACCAAGGCGACGACGGGUAGCCGGCCUGAGAGGGUGGCCGGCCACACUGGGACUGAGACACGGCCCAGACUCCUACGGGAGGCAGCAGUGGGGAAUAUUGCACAAUGGGCGCAAGCCUGAUGCAGCAACGCCGCGUGAGGGAUGAAGGCCUUCGGGUUGUAAACCUCUUUUAGCAGGGAAGAAGCGAAAGUGACGGUACCUGCAGAAAAAGCACCGGCUAACUACGUGCCAGCAGCCGCAGUAA
rnacentral:rRNA from 1 species